ACGGGUGAGUAAUGCCUAGGAAUCUGCCUGGUAGUGGGGGAUAACGUUCGGAAACGAACGCUAAUACCGCAUACGUCCUACGGGAGAAAGCAGGGGACCUUCGGGCCUUGCGCUAUCAGAUGAGCCUAGGUCGGAUUAGCUAGUUGGUGAGGUAAUGGCUCACCAAGGCGACGAUCCGUAACUGGUCUGAGAGGAUGAUCAGUCACACUGGAACUGAGACUCGGUCCAGACUCCUACGGGAGGCAGCAGUGGGGAAUAUUGGACAAUGGGCGAAAGCCUGAUCCAGCCAUGCCGCGUGUGUGAAGAAGGUCUUCGGAUUGUAAAGCACUUUAAGUUGGGAGGAAGGGCAGUUACCUAAUACGUGAUUGUUUUGACGUUACCGACAGAAUAAGCACCGGCUAACUCUGUGCCAGCAGCCGCGGUAAUACAGAGGGUGCAAGCGUUAAUCGGAAUUACUGGGCGUAAGGCGCGCGUAGGUGGUUUGUUAAGUUGGAUGUGAAAUCCCCGGGCUCAACCUGGGAACUGCAUUCAAAACUGACUGACUAGAGUAUGGUAGAGGGUGGUGGAAUUUCCUGUGUAGCGG
rnacentral:rRNA from 1 species